ACCCCUCUUCGGAGGCGGUCUCCUUAAAGCGAAGGACCAGGUUGCACCGCGGUGGGAAGGCGAAGGGACUUAAAUUCCAGGGAGCGGGCGCAAGGAUUGGGAAGGAAACGUCGCCCCAGAGAAGCGCGGGGAUUUAAAACCCUGUCAGAGGAGGAGGAAGGGGCGUCGGCCGCGUGAAGGAGAAGGUUGUGAAGCCGAGGAGCGGAAGCGCCGGCGGGGCGGUUUUAUUUACUCAUGAAAGACACAGACGCAGAGAGGCAGAGACCCAGGCGGAGGGAGAAGCAGGCUCCAUGCCGGGAGCCCGACGCAGGACUCGAACCCGGGACCCCAGGAUCACGCCCUGGGGCCGAAGGCAGGGGGCUCAACCGCUGGGCCACCCGGGCUGCCCAGAGAAUCCUAUGGAUAAAUUAAUCGAUAGAUGGAUCUUCACAUACUUGAUUCUCAUAAAACCUUAAAAGGCGCCGACGUGUCCCCGUCUUAGCGCUGAGGAUACUGAUGCUCCGAGACCUGGAGCCGCAUGGCCGGCAGGCGGCAGGCGGCAGGCGGACGUCCGAGCUGCUAGCGGGACCGGCCGGCGCCCCCGCCCGCCCUGCGCCUCGUGUCCGCCCGCCCGCGGUGAAGCCGAGAUUGCCCUGGAGCUGCAUGCGCAGCCGGCCCCGCCGGGUACAGUGAGGGCCUGCGGGCCCGGGGAGGCCCCCUCGGCCUCGGCUCUUCGCGCUCGGGUAGCCACGGCCCGCAGACCCGGGGGCCUCGGCCCGCGCUUUGUGUUUUCUUCCUAAUUAGAUGUUAAAGAUGCUACAGUAAACAUUGUGUCAAACUUC